rnacentral:rRNA from 1 species
AUUGAACGCUGGCGGCAUGCCUUACACAUGCAAGUCGAACGGCAGCGCGGGAGCAAUCCUGGCGGCGAGUGGCGAACGGGUGAGUAAUACAUCGGAACGUGCCCAAUCGUGGGGGAUAACGCAGCGAAAGCUGUGCUAAUACCGUAUACGAUCUACGGAUGAAAGCAGGGGACCGCAAGGCCUUGCGCGAAUGGAGCGGCCGAUGGCAGAUUAGGUAGUUGGUGAGGUAAAGGCUCACCAAGCCUUCAAUCUGUAACUGGUCUGAGAGGACGACCAGCCACACUGUGACUGAGACACGGCCCAGACUCCUACUGGAAGCAGCAGUGGUGUAUUUUGUACAAUGGGCGCAAGCCUGAUCCAGCCAUGCCGCUUGCAGGAUGAAGUCCUUCGGGUUGUAAACUGCUUUUGUACGGAACGAAACGGCCUUUUCUAAUAAAGAGGGCUAAUGACGGUACCGUAAGAAUAAGCACCGGCUAACUACGUGCCAGCCGCCGCAGUAA